CUGGUACAAACCACUUGUCUGAAGUAAACAAUGUCUUUUAGGACUUUCCCAGUACCUGAGGCACCUGCUGUUUAGAUCUGCAGCAGACUUGCUGAUAAUGCUCAUUAUUCUGUGGUAAAUGAUACUCAGAUGUUCUGCAGCAGCAGGAAAUUCAAUGUAUGGGUACCAUUAAAGGCCUGGUUCCAUUUUCUAACUACACAGAGCAAGUGAAUGCAUCCAACAGCCAGGGCAGCUUGAUGAGUGAUGCUGUAACAAUUGUCAGGCCUCCAGGAGCCAAACCUGUGUGGAUUGGCAGCUGAUCAGGAAGGGUCAGCCAGGACUGUGCAUGUGCUUAAAUGCUGGAACUGCCAGUUAAAGUCACUGUGGCACAAUAAGAAGC